GUUGAGGAGAUAGGUCUCAGGAGUAUCUGUUCUUACCUACCACUAAUAUACUGCUUAGUGCUGUCCCCCAGAAGGUCCAGCUUGCACCCAUAUGAAAGUAAUACAUGCAAAGGCAGCAUUUACAGCCUGAAAAAACAGCAGCUUAAAGCCUGGUGGGUUUCCUGAGCCCCUGCAGGUGGAAAGCAUGAGCCCUGGCUUGGCUUUAAUUUUUAAGUCAACUUUCAGCCUUUUCACAUGAGGGGCAUGUCCACAGGCUAUGGCCCAUCCCAAGAGGACUGCCAGUCUGGAGAGGCAGUAUCAAAGCUCAUAGUCCUUGGGUUAAGCCCUCAGGGUGUUGAGCCCCACAGUGGAAUAUCGAGCAGGACCACAUCUCCUGAGCAGUGGCAGGGUGGAGGGUGGGAAAGAGGCAGAGAUUUGCCCUCAUUAUGCAUGGGUCUAACAUGCCCAAUUACCCCAUCCUCUCCUCACCUCCAUAAUGUAAAAGGCUGUUGUUGAGAGUGGUCAUAAUUCACGGUGAACACUCUGCUUCCCCCUUACUCCCUUCACACCCACUGCUCUCCACUUUCCUUCCAGAAAAAAAACGUGUCUUUGAUGAAAUGAAAUGGCUCAGUCAAAGAACCCCUCAAAUGGUUGGGGACCCCUGCACUUGGCCACCCUUGCCCACUUCCCAGCUCUAUUUCUGGCUGAGUUUGGAGUUUAAGUGGGCUGACCUUGUGCCCUGACUGCCCCGGGGGUCAGUGAUGAAAGCGGAUGGAGGCUUCACAGUCAGGUCUCUUGUGUGUGACUCUUUUGUUCCCAGGACAAGGGUGUGCAGUGCCUGGGACAGUGCUUAAUUGUUCAGGGGGCAUUGCUUUACCCAUCAUGCCCUUCCCCGGGUGGCCCCAGCCCUUCUUGCUCAUGAGUGGGAGGGAGGCAGCUUCCCCACUUGGGGUAGGGAGCAGGAAGCAGAGUCUGAGUUACUCAGCAUCAUUUCUGGCUUUUUAUCAAUCCGUGUAAUAAAUUCUGUGGAGUGCCAGAAAGCCAAAAAAAAAAAAAAAAAAAAAGGGAAAAAUAUAAAAAUAACUUCCUUACAAUCUGUGACUCCGGUCUGUCACUUGAUGCAUCCUUCAUUGUCCCACCAUGCAGGCAAAAGCAGUAUCACCAGGUACCAGCCAGCUCCUGCAUCCAUCCGCUGUGCUCUGUGGGGUGCACUCUGCUACCGAGAGCUCCCUCUGCCCUUUUGCAGGUGUUUAAUGAGGAAACCUUCAUGUGCCAGGGCUGAGGCACUGCGCUUAGCUCCAUUGGAGGUAAUGGGUUCACACCAGAAGCUUUGGUUGGGGCAUAUCAACCAAGCUGGGCUGUAGUGUGGGGAAGCAAGCCCAGAGAUGGAUGUAGUGAGGCUUCUGGAAGGCUUUGUUUUCACCUGAGCUGGACACCCCCUUCUAGAACUGCCCUGAGGACACAUAGAGGAGGAGUGGGUUUACUGUCGAUAUGACAGGGCAGGGAAAAGAUGCUAGACAACCUGUGGGUGUGGUGAUAAAGAGCUGAAGGUUUACAAAGGUCCCUGAUGGAGGUAAGUCAGCAGAGCUCAGUGUAAGCAUGUGGGAAGAUUUGUACUACUCAAUACCUCUUUGGCUGCCCCCUCAGUAUCUUUCUUCUCUCAGUGGGUCUUUCAUGUGCUUUACAUCCUCAUUACAGCUGGAGGCUGGGUCAGGAGCCUCCACAGCACGCCCUCACCUCUCCUGUUUCGGGGAGUGACUGCACAGAGGAAAUGGAUAAAAGGAGUGGAGGGUCAGGGUUUAAUUACCACAUUGCGUGCAGAGACGAGUGAUGGACAGAGACUGUCAGUGGGUCACUGAUUAGCUGCCAUGGAGCAGACAGAGGAGGGGGAAAAUGUGAUGAGCCCCCAGGACAGGCCAGUGUCAGGGAGUCAUGAGGUAUGGAGAUGGCAGCUUGUAAUGGGGGACACUUUCUUCAAGUUGUUCCCCCAGUCCUUCAUCCCCUCCUUGUUCCUGGUCUAACAGGAGCCCUCUGGGCUCAAAAACCUCCUGCUGGGCCCUGGCUGCUUCACUGGUCAGGGAUGAGGGCUGUUGGGGUGGAAAGGGGAAGAAGGUGGUAAUCUCCUGCAGACUGUGUUGACCUCUUGUCUUACUGUGGGGAGGCAGUAAAGAAGGAUGGAGGGAGUGAGGGAAGAAGGAAAGGAGGAACAAAAGGGUAGGAGGGAAGGGAAGGGAAGGAAAGGAAAGGAAGAAGGCUUAAGGGGAAGGCUGCUGGCAGGUGAGGUAUAAUACACACAGAGUGCUCCUCUGUGCAAGUGUGAAGGUUUCCUGCACAAAAAUCAGCCCAGGCAAAGUUGAAACCAGGCUGCCUGUCUCCAGUCCCACUGCCUCAUCACUGCCUCCCUUGGACGUGGCUGAACGCCUCAGAGAUCCAUCUGGAUUCUAGUCAAGAGGAUCUGCUGGAGGCAAAACAAUAAGGCACAACAUGUGAGGAAGAACUGAAGAAUGGGUGCAUCUGUAUGGGUAUGAUGUGCAGGGUGUUUCGGGGGACCGAGGCUGUUAACCUGUUUGAGAUCAAGUGCCACAAGCUCUUAAAGCCAUGAUGACCUCUGUGAGAGACAGACAUUUCUACCUGAAGACACAGUUCAAGUGUCUCAGAGCUGAGCUUCUGUUGCCUUGCAGCUGGCACAUCCUGCUUUACCCCCUUACUGGGUUAGACUUUGAGUGCAACUGGACAGGCUGGACUGUACUAAUCCCUGAAUGGAGCAUGGCUUGAGUUUGCCCAGAAUGGCCUGGGUAUGGCUGGCUUGGCAUGAGUUACACUGGCUUUGAUCUGACUGAGCCAAACUUAACAUGGACUGAGUGCAAUCUGAAUGCAGGUUUGAGAUGGCAUCUUGAGAUGAGCGUGUUCUGAGUAGGCUAGACCUGACGGGAUUAGCUGCCUUACACUGUGUUGGACUUGGAGAUGAAAACAAGACUGCUUUGAACCGAGUUAAUAUUCAUGGUGGAUGGGAGCAGGCUGAUGGGAAGAGUUUGCCUGGAUACAGUGCUGCAAGUGACUUCGCUGGUUUAAAAGCCUCAUUUUGCUUUUACCAAAACCUGUUGCACCAUUUAGGAAUCCAAAUGCUGAACCAACUUUCCAUGGGUAGGAAAAAGAUUAUUCAGCAAGUGCUGAAAUAGGUUCCCCAAAAGGCUGACAAAAAUCUUUAGCUCCUCAGUGUCCAACAGCUCUCGGCCAUCUCCUUCUUUUACAGCCUCUGAGUGGUUCAUGCCAGAACAUCUGCAUCUUCUUCCUGAAGAAGCCUUAAAAAGGAAAAUGCUCAGAGAAAUUCCCAAAUGAGGGGUGGCUGCUGGUGUUUGAAUUGCUAAACUCAUUGUGUGACCAGAUUUUUCCAAGGAAAACCUUAUAACUCUUCAUAUUUGUAAUCCAGAAGUCCUAUGAAGUCCCCUCGCACUGGACUGGAGGAAAGGAGACAAGUUGAAACUGGCUGUUUCAUCUGAACAAGCAGUGAUCCUGACUGCUGGUAGGAAUUAUUCAUUCUUUCUUUUCAGAGGUUACAUGAAGAUGCUUUGGAUGACACUGGGUAUGGAGGUACCUGUUGGAUAUCUGACUGAGGGAAGACAGAAUUAAGUCUGGGAACUUCCUAUAGUGGAGAAGCCAAUCAGA